AAUAGAUACCCCGGUAGUCCACGCCGUAAACGGUGGGCACUAGGUGUGGGCGACAUUCCACGUCGUCCGUGCCGCAGCUAACGCAUUAAGUGCCCCGCCUGGGGAGUACGGCCGCAAGGCUAAAAACUCAAAGGAAUUGACGGGGGCCCGCACAAGCGGCGGAGCAUGUGGCUUAAUUCGACGCAACGCGAAGAACCUUACCAAGGCUUGACAUACACCGGAAACGUCCAGAGAUGGGCGCCCCCUUGUGGUCGGUGUACAGGUGGUGCAUGGCUGUCGUCAGCUCGUGUCGUGAGAUGUUGGGUUAAGUCCCGCAACGAGCGCAACCCUUGUCCCGUGUUGCCAGCAGGCCCUUGUGGUGCUGGGGACUCACGGGAGACCGCCGGGGUCAACGUCGGAGGAAGGUGGGGACGACGUCAAGUCAUCAUGCCCUUAUGUCUUGGGCUGCACACGUGCUACAAUGGCCGGUACAAUGAGCUGCGAUACCGCGAGGUGGAGCGAAUCUCAAAAAGCCGGUCUCAGUUCGGAUUGGGGUCUGCAACG
rnacentral:rRNA from 1 species